UUGGAAUGUUUCUUAAGAGCUUUGCUUCUCCC
rnacentral:piRNA from 1 species